UUAAAUGAGGGGAGAGCAAAGGCUGAGCUGAGAGAGGCUACUGGCCAGAGCAAUGUUUCAGCCUGGAAGAGAAGGUGUCACGGGCACAAAGGGGGAAGAUUUGGAAAAUAAAGUGGACGCUGACUGCCACUUUGGCGGCUCCCAAUAAGCCAUACUCUCUAGUAUUUGCCUGUGUAUAGCACCCCCUGGAGCUUCCCUGGUGGCUAAGUUGGUAAAGAAUUUGCCUGCCAAUGCAGGAGACUCAUUGCAGGACUUCAGUCUCUGGGUCAAGAAGAUCCAUGGAGAAGGAAAUGGCAACCCACGCCAGUACUCUUGCCUGGGAAAUCCAGUGCACAGAUGACCCUGGUGGAUGACAGUCCCUGGGGUCGCAAAGAGUCAGACACAACUUAGCAACUAAACCACCACCAUAGCACCUCCUACCCUGAAAAUUUGUAACAAAUUUUGCCUGAUGGGGCAUUAGCAAAAAGAUGCUAGCAGAGGCUGAAAAAGUGCCUGAACACCUGGCCUGUCCUUUUGGAGGUUCUCCCACUCAGAACCCAGCUGGCAUGCUGCGGGAAGCCCCACUUAGCUGUGUGGGGAGGCUAUGAAAAGGUGGUCCCCUGGGCUGACAGCCCCAGCUGGGGCCCAUCCAAUAGCCGACAUCAACUUCCAACCAAGUGAGUCCGGCCUCCUCCAGCCUCAGUCAAGCGGCCCCAGAUGAUGGCAUGCAGACCAGAGAAGAGCUGUCCCUGCCAACACCUGCCUGUGUUACAGAAUCUUGAGCAAAUCACCCCAUGAAGGAAGCAUAAAUACCGUCAUCUGAAUUUUAUGGAAAAAAAGUGGACACACAGAGGUGCAGAACUUGCCCAAGGUCACAAACCUGGAAAAGGAGGAGCCAGGAUUCAAGUCCCAGGGGAACAGAUGCCAAAUCCCACUGCUCUCGAUCAUUCAC